CACGUAGGGGGCGAGCGUUGUCCGGAAUUACUGGGCGUAAAGGGCUCGUAGGCGGCCAACUAAGUCGGACGUGAAAUCCCUCGGCUUAACCGGGGAACUGCGUCCGAUACUGGAUGGCUUGAGUUCGGGAGAGGGAUGCGGAAUUCCAGGUGUAGCGGUGAAAUGCGUAGAUAUCUGGAGGAACACCGGUGGCGAAGGCGGCAUCCUGGACCGACACUGACGCUGAGGAGCGAAAGCCAGGGGAGCAAACGGG
rnacentral:rRNA from 1 species